GGAGAGUUGCGAGAGUGGUUUAAUCGGCAGUCCUGGAAAGACUGUGUGUCGCAAGGCACCGAGGGUUCGAAUCCCUCACUCUCCG
rnacentral:tRNA from 1 species